rnacentral:rRNA from 1 species
GACGAACGCUGGCGGCGUGCUUAACACAUGCAAGUCGAACGGAAAGGCCCUGCUUUUGUGGGGUGCUCGAGUGGCGAACGGGUGAGUAACACGUGAGUAACCUGCCCUUGACUUUGGGAUAACUUCAGGAAACUGGGGCUAAUACCGGAUAGGAGCUCCUGCUGCAUGGUGGGGGUUGGAAAGUUUCGGCGGUUGGGGAUGGACUCGCGGCUUAUCAGCUUGUUGGUGGGGUAGUGGCUUACCAAGGCUUUGACGGGUAGCCGGCCUGAGAGGGUGACCGGCAAAGUUGGACUGGAAAUCAGCCCCGGCCUCGAAUGGGAGGGGAGGGUGGGGAAGUUGGCAGAGGGGGGGGGGCCUGAGUGCGGCACCGCCGUGGGGGGGGAGUGGGCCUGGGGUUAGUAACCCGUUUCCGCCUUUGACGGGGUGAGAGUGACGGUAAGGGGAAAAGAGGCUCCGGCUAACUACGUG